AGCUGAACAAACUACGGAGGAAGGAGCAUCCAAAUUAAAUGUGCCCAUCCUUUCUGUCUUUCCAUCAUUACUCUUGAGCAGGGGGCAAAAACAAACACGCAAAUCAAGAAUGGAGUGAUUCAUUCUUCUUCAGCAAAUUCUUAGUCCUCAUCUCACUUGGACUCCUGCAUGGUGAUGGCAUGAGCACUAGAGCUGCAGGAUUUAAGAAACGGAGGGAAAAUGAUGGAUUCACAUUCACUUGGACAUAACAGGCAUCUACUUUCAUCAAAGCAGAAGG
rnacentral:lncRNA from 1 species